CUCUGACCUAGGGGAGCCUAAGUGGCCUGAGUGGCUCUCCUGUCUUCCUGUGGCCUGGCCGACUCCUCAGCGCUGGCGUGGACCCCAAUGCCACCCCUCAGAAACGCCUUCCCUCUGCGACCCGCUUCCUCACGUCCCCAGACAGUGCACACCGUGUGUGUGGUUCCUCUCGGGAAGACAGUCCCCCACGGGCCUUAGCUCUGGUCUUCUUUCCUGCCCUCAUCAGGAACAAUGGCACGGCGUGCCACGAGGAGCUGGGAGGCGGUCCCCAGAGGCCAGAUCUUCCCUAUGUCUUCUGUCCGCCAUCAGUCCCCACAACCAGACCUGCUCCCAGGCCUCUGCCUCCCUUGCCCAGGAGGAGAAUCAGCAAGAAGUGGGAUUCCCCGCCCAGUUAUCAGAAAGGGGGAAAUGAACCUGAUUACCCAGCUCCAGUCUGGGCCGGAUGCUGAUUGAACUAGGAAUCUGAUAGAAAGUUUGCAAAAUUAGGAGGAUUUCUUCUUCUGGUGGGAGAUGCCACGGUGUAUCAGGUGGGUGGGGUUUUAGUCUCUGUGCUCUAGCCAUUAACGUGCUGUGCGAUUUGGGGCAAGUGACUUGCCUUCUCUGGUCCCCGCUUCCUCCUCUGUAAAAUGGUGUGUAAGUCCCCUUGUGUUCUCAUACCCUAAGAGCUCUCUGGGUACCUGUUAUCUUCAUUCAUUCAUGUAGGACUUGUGGGGUGUUUAAGCCCAGGUCCUUUUUUCUCCUCUGCAGUAAGAGGGGAAAUCACACCACGGCAUGCCCCCAACCAAAACCCUCCACGACCUCCUGUCCCAUUUAGAGUAAGGUCCUUACUCCUCAUCUGGGUAUAGGCCCUGCCUGAUCUGGUGCCUGCACUCUGACCUGUUAGAGUCCUCUAACCCCACACUCUGUGCUGGGAUCCACCUACAUCUGCCGGGGCCUCCCUCUAGAGCCCAAACCUUUGCUCACCUCCUGGGCCUUUGCACUUGCUAGAAAGUGCUUGGCGCUUUUCUCAGUUUCCUCCAAGACUGGCUUCUUCUUACCCAACAGGUCUCAGAUCAAAUGUUGCCUCCUCCAAGAAGUCCUCCCUGACUACCUAUAAUCCCCAACCCCAUUCCACUUCAAGUCUCCCUCUCAUCACCCUAGGAUAAAAAAAGGCUUUUAAGUAACUUUUUUUAAAGUAAAUUUUUAAGUAAAAUGUAAAAUCCACAGACCACACGCAUGCCUAUGUGUCAUAAGAGUACGGAUGAUGGGUUUUCACAAACCAAACACACCCAUAUAACCAGCACCCACAUCAAGAAGCAGAGCAUGACGCAUGGGGGGGGAGCGGUCAGUGAAGGACCGUCAUCUGGACCAGCAUCCACGCUUACCCCAGGAGCUCUGGGGGCAUCCGGGAGCACAGAGAGGGAGGAGUUGAGUGGGGACACACGGUGCUGGGGUCCUCGCAGAGGAUGUAGGCCAGAGAGGGAGGGCUGAGACCUGACUGGGGCCUGCAGGACUCAUUCCUGAGCACAUGUGAGCACACCUUGUGUGGUGGGCCCUGUGAGGAGACCCCCUCCGGGCCCUGGGCCGGCAGAGCUGGAGGGGCCGUGGAGGACAUGGGCUGGAAAGUGCCUCCACCAGGAUGGUGGUGGGAGUGUCCCAGAGAGGGCCGGAGGAUGGAUGGAGCCAGGGGAGGGGGCAAUGCUGAGGCUGCGGUGUGGGGAGGGGACACCUCCUGUGUCCAGGGCCAGGGCCAUCACAAAAAUCAGCUCCUCUCCCUUACGGCCCCCUGUGAGGUGGGGGACGGGGCCCCAUUCCCACGGGAGGGAACUGGGGUGCCUCGGCUCUGCUCUGUGAUGCUCUGAGGGCAUCUCCAAGGACCCGCACUCGGGAUCUCCCCAAGACGAAGCAGUCACGGCAGGGAGAGGGUCGCAGGUUGGGGACAUUUCGUUUUCUUUUGUAAAAGCGGUCUCUUGGCUAUUGUUAUGACAGUGGAAACAGAGCACUUCCACAGACCGUGUUUCGCCAGGGAUGUGGUCAGUGUUUUCCCCUUUGGAUGAAUUCCCCCGCAGAGAGAUUACAGGUGGCUGAGUCACUGGGCGCGCUGCUCCUGGGCUCCUGCCGCUCUGUCCCUGCCAAGGCCCCCCUCGGCCUCCUGGAGCGCCGGGGUGUGUGCGGGGAAUUCUCCGAGACCAUGUGCCCAGCGGUCCUGGACGGCCUCCAGGACACGCAGGGCUGGGAAGCAGGGGACAGCGGGUGGCAGUGGGGGAUAGGCCUGGCUCGGGAGCCCCCUUAGAGCUGCAUCCCCACCCUGCCACAGAUCGUGUGUGUGUGUGUGUCUCAGGGAGGUCGGAGCAGGGUUGGCGGCCAUCCAGCUUCCUCGGAGCACCGUUUGCCUCUUUAAAUCUUGAACGCAUGUUACUUGGAUAUAUAUAUGCAAACUAAACACCAAAAGACAGAUACUUUUACAAAUUUGACAGUUGCCAAGAGCUUCAUGGGUGCCCGGUCCGACACUGCCUUCCUUGCCCCUCAGGACGAGUGUUACCAGGGCUGUGUUCUCGGAACUCAGCCCGAGCGGUCGGGGAGGUGGGAUGGCAUGAGCCUGGGGCCGGGUGCAUGCAGACCUGCUCUGGGUCCUGCGCUGUCAGUUCCUGUGUGACGUCAUGGCAGUGACGUAAGCUCUGUUUCUCUCGCCUGUGAAUGGGAUGGUGAUGCUCACCUCGCAGGGCUGCUGGAGGGUCAACUAGAAGAUUCCGGUAAAGCGUCCGCCGUGUACAGGA